AAAUUGGGAAUCUAAACUACUGGAAAUAAAAUCAGCAGCACAAAAUUGAUCAUAUUACAACACAAAUCCUAAUAGAAGAUAGAGUUAAUUACAUUAGUAAAGAAUUUAAAAUUGAUUAUACAUGUCACUAAUUAGAACAUGAAGUACAUGAUCUCAACUAGCUAAUUUAAAUCCGUGAUUCGAUUGCACUAAUAUUCCAAUGAAAAUAGCUUUCCUUGGCCAUGGGUAUUCAUUUCUCCAACAGAUCUUCAGCUUGCAAAGAAGCAACCAACAAUAAUCCAACAGGUAAACAAUAAUUGAAAUUAGUUUAACCCGUUGAGAUCACUUUAGACAUGAGUCAUUGUUUUAGACGAGGAAUGAAGCUGUUAACAAACAGGUGUUAAAUUAUUCAAAAGCUAUAGGACAAUUUGAACUUUUAAUUAUAACAUACCAAUGGCAUCAGACAUUAAUCAGGAAAAGAAGUUCAAGUAGAUUUGGAGCAUAAUAGUUUCAAAACUUAACAGGGAAAGUAAAUCGAAACAAAUCGAUAAUUACACAUGACCAGAUCUGUGAAAUUGAACAGAAUUAGCACAUAAACAAAUUGAAUUUUCAUUUAGGAUUCAAAUAAGAGCAGCAGCGAUAGCUAAACAUACCUAAACAACAAUCGAAGACCAAAUAAAUGUCUGAAAAGAAGAAAUGAUAAAAUUCAGCUACAAAUGGACAGCAAAACAGCAGAAGUACAUCAACAGUUUCAAUUGUUAAUCCAACAGCAACUUGAAAACCCUGAAAUUAUUGAACUAUUCUAAUAGACCUCGAAAUCACUUUGAGAUUUUUCUUUUGUGUUUUUUGGAGCUUUUGGUUUUUCUACAGAUUUGGAAUUUUUGAAUUUCCAGAAAUUCUAGCUACUAAUGUGUUUUCCGUGUGUGAAGGUGAGAGAAAGAGAGUGAAUUGGUGCAGACGAGAGAGAGUGUAUGAGCGAGUGUAGAUGAGAAUGAAUUGGCAGUGAAGGUGUUCCCAGAUGAGUGCAGAAUGGGUCUGUUAUAUAAAAAAUGCAUAUAUUCCUUUUCAGUUAUUUUCCUUCUUUUACAUCCCUCCUCUUUUAAUUAUUUACCCCCUCACCCCCAAAUACUUAGCAUGUACUAUACUUCCUUUUUUUGCAAAUUGACCCUUUUUCUACACAAUCCCAGAAGCUUCUGAAAAUAUAUUCCCUGAAUUAAUUCCCAACACACCCUUUAAAAACCUGUUAAUUACACUCUUUGCCCCUGUUUUUACUCUCUCUUUCUUUUCUUUCCAUUAACUCCCUAACAGUCCCAAACUAAACUACCCUAAUUAUGAAAUAGGAUUUAUGAAUUAAACAAGUAAUUAAGCUAGUAUUUAGACAACAAUUAAACUGUUAAAAACAAAAUCAAAAACUCUUAAAGAUACUGCCCAACUUAACCAGUAGGCAGAUCACAUUGCCAACUUUGCUCUAGAUACUGAUCCUAUGGAAUGCAACAGUUUUGGAGAGUUGGAUGUCAAAGGGAGAAGUAUUGUGAAUAGUGAUAAGUUACAAUGCCCAUAUCUAAGAGUAAAUGUCGCAAGAAGUUAGGAGGUGAGGAGGAAAGGAGUAGCAGGAGAAAGGGGAAUGCUGGAAAUAAUUUGGAUCAUCAUACUCAAGUCCUUAUGGAGGAGAGUAUGGUAACCAUAUUUUUUACUAACCUAGUCUUUUUUUUCCAGGAAACACUAUUCUAAUCAUGCCUUAUACCUUGAACAACUCCCAUUUGGUGUAUUAGUACUAUGUACUCAUUCCAAUGGGAGGGAAGUAGGGGUAGGCAUAAGUAUGAUGCUGGAGAAUCGAAUAGAGCAGCUGGGUUGUUACGACUUUAAUGGAGAACUUUGGCUUAGUUCUAUUAGGUCAGGUAACGUAAACAACCUAGCAAACACUUGUAAAAUACAAUCGGCUAAGGAUAGAAACAAACACAAGAAGCAAACACUGCUCAGAUUUCCAUGGACGAGGCAGUGUAUUUCAAUGGAUUGCACAGGUUACAUGAGUUGGACAUCAACGAGCUGCUUUACGUCAACAACACUAAUGACAUGCAAGGAAGAUGCUCUGGGAGAGGAUUCACACUUAAAGGCAAGUUUCGUGAUAAAAUUCUGGACACAAGACACCAUAAUCAUAGCACUGCCCAGAUUCAUAUAGACGAGGCACUAUGUUUCAAUGGAUUAUAUGGGGUACAAGAACUGGACAACAAGGAGCUGCUUAUUAUCAACAACACCUAUGACACAUAAGGAAGGUGUUCUGGAAGGGGAUCAACACUCAAAGGCAAGGAUCAUGAGCGAAUUCUGGACGCAAGAAGGCAUUGUCACCAUGAACAUUAAUUGCUGGAUACAGGGAGGACAUGUUAAGCGAAGAAUCGUGAUCUCAUCAAUACAAGGUUGCAUACUACUAGCGCAACAAUAUGCUUACACUAGGCAAGGAAGAAUUCCCACGCGACAGAGCUGCGCACUAUGGAUAAUUGAUGUUAUCGCUGCACUCAUAUGGCUAGUUUAUAAAUCUAAUUAUUACUACAUAAGAAGAUUUCAUUAUCAUUAUCAUUUCUUAAUUAGUUCAAAAAGUACUACCAUAGUUUAGUAUCCAGUGCUCAUCUUUGGUACUAGGGACUAUGUAAUUCACAUAGGUUAUGGCUCAACAUAUUGUAAGACACUACAUUACUCCGUUUUCUUAUUUUUCCUUUUUUAUAUAUAAAAUAUAGCCCUAGGUAUUUGCCUAGUGGAUUGCCAAAAAAGAAAACUCUUAAAGACUAAACAUGCACAACAAACAAUAUCGGAAUUCAAAACCUAACAAACUAACAAUCAAUUCAAAACUAAACAUGGGAGUGAUACACUACCACACAGAAAAGAGAACUACUAACAUGUAAGCAUAUCCAAUAAUGUGCUGAAAAUAAGAAAAUUAACCUACACACACGACUGGAGUGAUGGGAAUAGAAGGAAGAAAUUAGAAGAAGGUGGAACCGGACGAUACCUACUCAAAACCUCGAGUUAAACUGGGACUGAUGCCCGGCAUGAAACUUAAAUGAAACACAUUGGAAUUGACAUCACUCGAUCAAGAUUUAUCGAAUGAUGUUGAUUCCGGCCGGUUAUAGCCAGUGAAUCGAACGGGAAGUUGAAAAGGGCUAGGUAGCGGCUAGGGUUUUGAUGGGGUGUGAUAGGGUGGAAAUUGGGGUUUCGAUCUUGAUGGGAUGAAAUAGAGGAGGAGGAGGAGAGGAGAAGGAAAAUGGUGAUUUUAGGGUAUUUGGAUAUCUUCGGCCGGCGGAGGCGAUUUCCAGCAGGUGGUUUACGGUGAAGAGAGGCGAAGGAUGAGAGAGAGGGCGAGAGCCGGUUUGAGGGUUUUUUUUUGGGGGGGUAGGG
rnacentral:lncRNA from 1 species